rnacentral:lncRNA from 1 species
GCCGGUUACUGUCACUACCGCAGGACACUUCAUUGUGGAAGACCACAACUGUCAUUCCCCCUUUAGAGGAGCUCAUGAUCACACUUCCGGAAGCGGGCCAAGCUCACUCUCUGAUCCAGCUCAGGACAAGAAGCCUCAGCAAGCGUCCUCGCCGGACUCCCUGCGCUGAUGCCCACUGAUGAGGCAGCAUGACGUUGAUAUGAACUUAGCAGAGCUCUUUCUCUCAACUAGUGAACACGGCACAGAACAAGGACGUUCUUUAACACGUAUGCAGGCCACAUACCCAUCACAUGAGGGCAGCCACAGGCGCAGAGGGAUGAAGGCUGAUGGGAAGUCUCCUUUCCUGGAAAGUCUCUUAUGCUGGUCCCCACUCUCAACAGCCAGCAUCUCAGGAAGCUUUGGCUCACUCAGGACGAUGACAGCCACAGGCCCCAGUGAGAUCACGACUUCCCCAGAAAACAGCUUCUGUGUUGCCUCCUCUAACUACUUAGCUAGAUCUGAACUCCCACUUUUUUCUGCCCAGUAG